rnacentral:rRNA from 1 species
UACGAAGGGUGCAAGCGUUAAUCGGAAUUACUGGGCGUAAAGGGUGCGUAGGCGGUUGUUUAAGUCUGUCGUGAAAUCCCCGGGCUCAACCUGGGAAUGGCGAUGGAUACUGGGCAGCUAGAGUGUGUCAGAGGAUGGUGGAAUUCCCGGUGUAGCGGUGAAAUGCGUAGAGAUCGGGAGGAACAUCAGUGGCGAAGGCGGCAUCCUGGACCGGCAUUGACGCUGAGGAGCGAAAGCUAGGGGAGCAAACGGG